rnacentral:sRNA from 1 species
GAAGGGAGCUUUCAUGUGGCCGACCAACUCUACUCCUUGACUCCUCCCUUCUCUCAUUGAAAAAAAAUGUUUAAGGGGACAUUUCUCUCUCCUAAACUUUUUAUGUUCCAUUGAAGACCUGGAAAACAUGUUAAAUAAAAAUGCUUUGCCACAGCUGACCUAUGUCUUCUGGCUUGUACCCCACAACAUCUUAUCUAAUGGAAGGACAGAAUAACGGGCUCCCAGAUUCACAAGCCCCACCAAGAGGAUCACCCCAGGAAUGCUUGGAGGCUGAGGAGUUCACUGAGGCUACUGCAUCUUGAGACUCAGGAUGAAGACCCAGCUUGGGGCUGUCAAAGGUUUUUUGCAUGUCUGACACCCAUGACUCCACCUGGACCUUAUGGCUCCACCCAGAAGCAAUUCAGCCCAACAGGAGGACAGCUUCAACCCAUUACGAUUUCAUCUCUGCCCCAACCACUCAGCAGCAAGCACCUGUUACCUGUCCAUCCCCACCCCUUCCCCCAAACUGCCUUUGAAAAAUCCCUAACCUAUGAGCUUUGAAUAAGAUGAGUACGAACUUCAUCGCCCAUGUGGCGUGGCCGGCCUCGUGUCUAUUAAAUUCUUUUUCUACUACAA